CUUAACUCCUAGACCAGUUUUUAGUCCAUUGACUAUGCAGCCUAAUGUGAUAGACUGGAAUGAUGUUAGAAAACACAAAUAUGGUCACCUAUCAGAGUCUGCAUCCCAAUAUCAAGAAACUGCUGACAUCCUGGAGCUAGGUCAUUUUACCUGGGACAAAUACCUAAAAGAAACAUGUUCAGUCCCAGCGCCUGUCCAUUGCUUCAAGCAGUCCUACACACCUCCAAGCAACGAAUUCAAGAUCAGUAUGAAAUUGGAAGCACAGGACCCUAGGAACACCACAUCCACCUGUAUUGCCACAGUAGUUGGACUGACAGGUGCCCGCCUUCGCCUGCGCCUUGAUGGGAGUGACAACAAAAAUGACUUCUGGCGGCUGGUUGACUCAGCUGAAAUUCAGCCUGUUGGGAACUGUGAAAAGAAUGGGGGUAUGCUACAGCCACCUCUUGGAUUUCGGCUGAAUGCAUCUUCAUGGCCCAUGUUCCUUUUGAAGACGUUAAAUGGAGCAGAGAUGGCUCCCAUCAGGAUUUUCCACAAGGAGCCACCAUCGCCUUCCCACAACUUCUUCAAAAUGGGAAUGAAGCUAGAAGCUGUGGACAGGAAGAACCCUCAUUUCAUUUGCCCAGCCACUAUUGGGGAGGUUCGGGGCUCAGAGGUGCUUGUCACUUUUGAUGGGUGGCGAGGGGCCUUUGACUACUGGUGCCGCUUCGACUCCCGGGACAUCUUCCCUGUGGGCUGGUGUUCCUUGACUGGAGACAACCUACAGCCUCCUGGCACCAAAGGGAAAGGCAAAUCAAAGCCACAGUGAAAUACCACUUCACACCCAUGGAUACAGCUAUAAGCAAAAGACGGAUAAUAACAAAUGUUGCUGAGGAUGUGGAAAAACUGGAACCCUCUAACAUUACUGUAGCAAAUUGCUUCAGGAGCUGAGACAGGAGGGAGCUUGGUGUCUUGGCCUUCUUUGUGCUUCUCUGAGCUAUGAGGCCGAGAAGAUCUUCAAGUGGAUUUUUAGCAAAUUUAGCUCAU